rnacentral:misc_RNA from 1 species
UUUCCGUAGGUGAACCUGCGGAAGGAUCAUUCAUAAUAAAGUGUUUUAUGGCACUUUUUAAAAAUACAUAUCCACCUUGUGUGCAAUGUUAGAUCUCGUCAAUCUUGGCGAGAUUUUUAUACAUCAACUCAUUCUUUAACUAAUUUGUCUGAAAAAUAUUAUGAAUACUUAAUUCAAAAUACAACUUUCAACAACGGAUCUCUUGGCUCUC